rnacentral:rRNA from 1 species
ACCUACGGGGGGCAGCAGUGAGGAAUAUUGGUCAAUGGUCGGGAGACUGAACCAGCCAAGCCGCGUGAGGGAUGAAGGUACAGAGUAUCGUAAACCUCUUUUGUCAGGGAACAAAGGCGGGGACGUGUCCCCGGAUGAGUGUACCUGAAGAAAAAGCAUCGGCUAACUCCGUGCCCGCAGCCGCGGUAAUACGGAGGAUGCGAGCGUUAUCCGGAUUUAUUGGGUUUAAAGGGUGCGCAGGCGGUCUGUUAAGUCAGCGGUCAAAGCCCGGGGCUCAACCCCGGCCCGCCGUUGAAAUUGGCAGG